rnacentral:rRNA from 1 species
AUGGCCGCUCCACCCCACCACCGCCACCCCAAUCGUGAUGUGCCCUCGCCACCGCAACCAACCACCGCACCCCCACCUACACCCCCAGCCACCGCGAGUCCCCGACCCCUGCCUUCGUCGCCCCCAACGCCACACCGCAGCACCACCGAGCAUACAGCUGACACAGAUCUAGGUCGCCGCCGACCGGCCCCAUCGCCGAGCCACUCCACCGCCGACCACUGUCCUCCGCCUAACGCUCCAUUGCCACCACCAUACUCUGCGAGCUUCCUCCCCCGAGCAGGACUUGUCACCGGUGCACCGACCAAGGCCGCCUCCUCUUUGUCCUCUGCCCCAAGCAACGGAGCGUCCAUCCCCUCCCGCGAGCAGCUCUGCCUCCUCUACUUCCUUGUCCCAAAGAGAGCAUUUGAUAGGGAUCAAGUUGUUGGGUGGCCGCCUCGUGGGAGCUACCGGAAGAACACACUAGCCGCCAAUGCUACAAAGACCAAGGUGGAGAACAAAGGUAAAAGCAAGGCAUGA